CAUUCUUGGCACUCGACGGUACCAGAGGAAUAAGCACUGGCUAACUCCGUGCCAGCAGCCGCGGNUAAUACGGAGGGUGCAAGCGUUAUCCGGAUUUACUGGGUUUAAAGGGUGCGUAGGUGGGUUAGUAAGUCAGUGGUGAAAUCUUCGAGCUUAACUCGGAAACUGCCGUUGAUACUAUUAAUCUUGAAUAUCCUGGAGGUGAGCGGAAUAUGUCAUGUAGCGGUGAAAUGCUUAGAUAAGACAUAGAACACCGAUUGCGAAGGCAGCUCACUACGGGAUCAUUGACACUGAGGCACGAAAGCGUGGGGAUCAAACAGGAUUAGAUACCCUGGUAGUCCACGCCCUAAACGAUGGAUACUCGACAUUUGCGAUAUACUGUAAGUGUCUGAGCGAAAGCAUUAAGUAUCCCACCUGGGAAGUACGACCGCAAGUUGAAACUCAAAGGAAUUGACGGGGGUCCGCGCAASUGGGGAGCAUGUGGUUUAAUUCGAUGAUAC
rnacentral:rRNA from 1 species